GUCCACUUCGGCAGCACAUAUACUAAAAUUGUAAAGAUACAGAGAAGAUUAUUUUGGGCCCUGCACAAUAAUGACACCCAAAUUCGUGAAGCGUUCCAUGUUAAA